rnacentral:rRNA from 1 species
UAUAGUUUAUUUGAUAAUUGAAUUAUACAUGGAUAACCGUGGUAAUUCUAGAGCUAAUACAUGCAGUAAAACCUGACUUUUUGGAAAGGUUGUAUUUAUUAGAUAUCAAACCAAUAUUCCUUCGGGUCUAUUGUGAUGAUUCAUAAUAACUGAUCGAAGCUUAGCUAGUCUAAGCUAAAUCAUUCAAGUUUCUGCCCUAUCAGCUUUCGAUGGUAGUGUAUUGGACUACCAUGGCAGUCACGGGUAACGGGGAAUUAGGGUUCGAUUCCGGAGAGGGAGCCUGAGAAACGGCUACCACA